CUCUCGAUGACAUUGUUUGAAGUCUCUUGUAGAUAUAUCAGCGAUCGCUUUCCUCGUAUUCGUGUUGAAGAGCCAGCUGCAGUAGAGGCAUCACUUUUAGCGAGGAUAAAUCUGCUAACACAGCCUGAAAAUAGAAAAAUGUAACAAUUGCAUAUAAUUUAUACCAAUAUAUAAUAUAUCACUUCUGUACCUCUACAUUUUGUUGGGUAUUAACUUGUAAUAAAUUUUCUUUUCGAAAA